rnacentral:rRNA from 1 species
UAGGGAAUCUUCGGCAAUGGACGGAAGUCUGACCGAGCAACGCCGCGUGAGUGAAGAAGGUUUUCGGAUCGUAAAGCUCUGUUGUUAGAGAAGAACGUUGGUAGGAGUGGAAAAUCUACCAAGUGACGGUAACUAACCAGAAAGGGACGGCUAACUACGUGCCAGCAGCCGCGGUAAUACGUAGGUCCCGAGCGUUGUCCGGAUUUAUUGGGCGUAAAGCGAGCGCAGGCGGUUCUUUAAGUCUGAAGUUAAAGGCAGUGGCUUAACCAUUGUACGCUUUGGAGACUGGAGGACUUGGGUGCAGAAGGGGAGAGUGGAAUUCCAUGUGUAGCGGUGAAGUGCGUAGAUAUAUGGAGGAACACCGGUGGCGAAAGCGGCUCUCUGGUCUGUAGCUGACGCUGAGGCUCGAAAGCGUGGGGAGCAAACAGG